rnacentral:rRNA from 1 species
GACGAACGCUGGCGGCGUGCUUAACACAUGCAAGUCGAACGGAAAGGCCCUGCUUUUGUGGGGUGCUCGAGUGGCGAACGGGUGAGUAACACGUGAGUAACCUGCCCUUGGCUUUGGGAUAACUUCAGGAAACUGGGGCUAAUACCGGAUAGGAGCUCCUGCUGCAUGGUGGGGGUUGGAAAGUUUCGGCGGUUGGGGAUGGACUCGCGGCUUAUCAGCUUGUUGGUGGGGUAGUGGCUUACCAAGGCUUUGACGGGUCGCCGGCCUGAGAGGGUGACCGGCCACAUUGGGACUGAGAUACGGCCCAGACUCCUACGGGAGGCAGCAGUGGGGAAUAUUGCAAAAUGGGCGGAAGCCUGAUGCAGCAACGCCGCGUGCGGGAUGACGGCCUUCGGGUUGUAAACCGCUUUCGCCUGUGACGAAGCGUGAGUGACGGUAAUGGGUAAAGAAGCACCGGCUAACUACGUG